UGCCAGCAGCCGCGGUAAUACAGAGGGUGCAAACGUUGUUCGGAAUCACUGGGCAUAAAGCGCACGUAGGCGGCUAUGCAAGUGUGGAGUAAAAGCCCACGGCUCACCCGUGGAAUUGCUUUGCAAACUGUAUGGCUCGAGGAUGGUAGGGGAGAGCGGAACUCUUGGUGGAGCGGUGAAAUGCGUAGAUAUCAAGAGGAACACCGGUGGCGAAGGCGGCUCUCUGGGGGAUGACUGACGCUGAGGCACGAAAGCUAGGGGAGCGAACAGGAUUAGAUA
rnacentral:rRNA from 1 species